ACAUACGGUCAUACCUACUGGAAAAUACGGGAUCCCGUCUGCUCUCCCAGAGUCAAGCCGGUAAGGGGCGGAUUAGUAGUUGGGUUCGGUGACGACCAGCGAAUACCCGCUGUUGUAUGUU
rfam:Nectria haematococca mpVI 77-13-4 chromosome 7 genomic scaffold NECHAsca_22_chr7_11_0, whole genome shotgun sequence.